AAUAGAUACCCUGGUAGUCCACCCCGUAAACGUUGGGAACUAGUUGUGGGGUCCUUUCCACGGAUUCCGUGACGCGGCUAACGCAUUAAGUUCCCCGCCUGGGGAGUACGGCCGCAAGGCUAAAACUCAAAGGAAUUGACGGGGACCCGCACAAGCGGCGGAGCAUGCGGAUUAAUUCGAUGCAACGCGAAGAACCUUACCAAGGCUUGACAUACACCAGAACACCCUAGAAAUAGGGGACUCUUUGGACACUGGUGAACAGGUGGUGCAUGGUUGUCGUCAGCUCGUGUCGUGAGAUGUUGGGUUAAGUCCCGCAACGAGCGCAACCCUCGUUCUAUGUUGCCAGCACGUAAUGGUGGGAACUCAUGGGAUACUGCCGGGGUCAACUCGGAGGAAGGUGGGGAUGACGUCAAAUCAUCAUGCCCCUUAUGUCUUGGGCUUCACGCAUGCUACAAUGGCCGGUACAAAGGGCUGCAAUACCGUGAGGUGGAGCGAAUCCCAAAAAGCCGGUCCCAGUUCGGAUUGAGGUCUGCAACUCGACCUCAUG
rnacentral:rRNA from 1 species